AUUGAACGCUGGCGGCAGGCUUAACACAUGCAAGUCGAGCGGGGGAAGGUAGCUUGCUACCGGACCUAGCGGCGGACGGGUGAGUAAUGCUUAGGAAUCUGCCUAUUAGUGGGGGACAACAUCUCGAAAGGGAUGCUAAUACCGCAUACGUCCUACGGGAGAAAGCAGGGGAUCUUCGGACCUUGCGCUAAUAGAUGAGCCUAAGCCGGAUUAGCUAGUUGGUGGGGUAAAGGCCUACCAAGGCGACGAUCUGUAGCAGGUCUGAGAGGAUGAUCCGCCACACUGGGACUGAGACACGGCCCAGACUCCUACGGGAGGCAGCAGUGGGGAAUAUUGGACAAUGGGGGGAACCCUGAUCCAGCCAUGCCGCGUGUGUGAAGAAGGCCUUAUGGUUGUAAAGCACUUUAAGCGAGGAGGAGGCUACUUUAGUUAAUACCUAGAGAUAGUGGACGUUACUCGCAGAAUAAGCACCGGCUAACUUUGUGCCAGCCGCCGCCGUAA
rnacentral:rRNA from 1 species